AACGAACGCUGGCGGCGCGUCUUAAGCAUGCAAGUCGGACGGCAAGGGUAGCAAUACCCCUAGAGUGGCGGACUGGUGAGUAACGCGUGGGUGACCUACCCUUGAGAUGGGGAUAGCCAUUAGAAAUAGUGGAUAAUACCGAAUACGCUCUAUGAACUGUGGUUUGUAGAGGAAAUCAGGCUACGGCCUGGCUCGAGGAUGGGCCCGCGUCCCAUUAGCUAGUUGGUGAGGUAACGGCCCACCAAGGCGAUGAUGGGUAUCCGGCCUGAGAGGGUGUACGGACACAUUGGGACUGGGAUACGGCCCAAACUCCUACGGGAGGCAGCAGCUAAGAAUAUUCCGCAAUGGACGAAAGUCUGACGGAGCGACGCCGCGUGGAUGACGAAGGCCGAAAGGUUGUAAAAUCCUUUUGCUGAUGAAGAAUAAGUGGUGUAGGGAAUGACAUCAUGAUGACAUUAGUCGGUGAAUAAGCCCCGGCUAACUACGUGCCAGCCGCCGCAGUAA
rnacentral:rRNA from 1 species